GGAAGUGCCCUGAGGCUUAGCAAAAAACCUGAAAGCAGUUUGGAAUCCUCUUCCUUUCCAGACAGCCCCCGUGAGCAUGCAAAAGCAUAUUUUUGAGGCUUUUUCAAUUAAAAAGGGCUGUGACAGGAGACACUGCUCUAAGGCAGGAUGACCAAAUCAGGGAAACUAAAUCCGGUUUUAAAAUGUAAGGGACAAGCAAGCUUCCUGAGAGGGCUGGAAGCUUCGGCUCCUUUAAGAGACAGACAAAGAGAUCUGGGAUGGGUGUGGCCCUGCUUCUCCCGACUGUCGGUAAAACUUCUGUUAACCAUGCAACCAUGCAAUUUAAAAGUUGGGUGAAAUUCUGGAGAACAAUUUGGAACUAUGCUCAAAAAGUUAUCAAACUGUACAUACCUUUUGAUCCAGCAGUAUUAACUGGGCUUAUAUCCUAAAGAGAUCUUAAAGAAGGGAAAGUGACCUGUAUGUGCAAAAAUGUUUGUGGCAGCCCUUUUUGUAGUGGCUAGAAACUGGAAAUUGAAUGGAUGUCCAUCAUUUGGAGAAUGGCUGAAUAAAGAAACUGAAACCCAGAGAUAGAUGAUAAACAACUUGCUUGUGGUAACACAAAGAUUUAUUGGGAGAACUGGUACUAGAAUCCAGGAGUACAGAACACUGUUCAUUCUUUAAAAGUGCUGGUUUUAGGAACUUUAGAAUUGGGUGUAUGCCAUCAGAGACACUGGCACAGGACCACCCAGCAUGGCUGAUUCCCUUCUUAAGGUCUUUUUGUCCUCCUCAACACCCCACAAAUGACGAGGUCCUGCUGGUUAGGACAAGUGGCGCCCAACGUGGACUCGAGGAACGGACUCUCGACCAGGUGGACCCCUGAAGUCGUCCGGACCCCUAAUUAUGGUGAGUAGUUUCGUCCACCUCAUUUCAGUUAUGGGCCAUAAGCUUUCUAAGGAACAGAUCUUUGUUAAAGAUCUUAAGGAUUCACUCAGGGAAAGGGGAGUAAGGGUUAAGAAUUCAGCCUCUGUGUUGCAGGCUUAGAAAAUAUCAAGAAGUUUGAAAAAUCUUUCUCUCUCUCUGUCUCUGGCUGACUGCAGCAGCCUGUGAGAAAAAGGGAGAAAAGGGAGAGAAAAGGAAAAAAAAAAAAAAAAAAAGGAAAUGAAGGAAAAAAAAACAGAUUGAAAGAGAUUUGAAAGUUCAGAAAGUUAAAAAAAAAAAACAGAUUGAAAGGGAUUUGAAAGUUCAGAAAGUUAAACUAUAUAUAGAAGAGCAGUGUGCUAACAUUUAAAGGAAAGAAGUUUGAAUGGAAUAUCUAGGCAUUCUCUGUGAAGGCAGAGAAAAGCACUAAAUGGGCUUGGAAGUUCACAGAAACCCCUUUGGAUUCUGGAAUGGAAAAAGGGAAUUCAAGGUGAAACAAACCUCUCUCUGGGGGUUGAGGUCUUGGAAACAGCCCCUAGUCUGUUUGCUGAUUUAAGAGCUUUGCUAAGUUUUAAGAACAAUGAUUAAGGAAAAUUUGCUUGUGAUUUUAAAUUUUUUUAAGGAAAAGCCUACUAGAGUAAAGAGCAAUAAAAUUCAAGUUUAGCCUGGCCUGGGCAAUAAAAAGCUCUGGAGAUAAGAUGCUAAUAGCUGUUAGAAGAAAUGUGGUGGAAAAGAAAGAGAAAAAAAAAAAAAGAAAAAAGAAAAAAAAACUUUUAAAGACAGCUGUAUUAGUUUGAUUGAGUUUGUUACUGUCUGAAAUAUAUUGAGUUAUUUGUUAACAUAAGUUAUACCUUAAAUCCAGCUCUGCUGGACAUGUGUGGGUUUUGUGGAGGUUUGGGCUAUUCACUAUAGUGUGAAUCUUACAGGUUUUUGAAGGGAAAAGGAAAGAGGAAUACAGGUGAUUUAGGAAGGACUGAUUUGUAGGGAAAUUAGAGGUUUGCAUGGUUUAAGGAAGGUGAAAGAAAGACUUUUGGGAGUAGGUAAAGAGAUGGGGGAGGGAGCCACCCACCCCCACUGCCUUCUGCUACUUUACCAAAGGAGCAUCUGGGAAGGAAAGUUCUUUAAGGAGAUUGUUUAAAUAUGUAGCUAGAGAGAAAGAGAAAAUUGGAAAUGGGUGGAUUUGGGAAGAAACCUGGAUAUUGGGAAACUGAUGGGUUAAAUCUUGAAAAAGAUCCCCAUGUAGGAAAUUGAGUGGGGAACCCGAGGGAAGUUUUUUUCCUAGGGGGUCAGGAGUGGGGGAAGGGUGGCCAUGUGGAAUCCUCUCCUCCCCUCACCCCUCUUAAGUAUGUUCCUGCCACUUUUUUUCUUAUCUGAUUGCAGCAGUGCAGCAAACUGUGAUUUUUUAAGGACACGCUUACUUUUAGGUUAAAUGAUUGAAUAUUUGGUUUUUUUUCCUUCUGUAACUGAUCUCUCUGAUCAGAGCUAUGGUCAAUAGAACUGUUAAUGCAAUUCAGUUAUGUCAUGCCUUGCUAUUUUCAGUCUGGUCAUAUGUAAUCAUGUAUCCUAAAUGCUUGGGCAACUAAGUAUUUUGUCUGGUCAUCUGUCUGUUACUGGAUAUUUGUGUUCUGUUCCUUUAAAGUUCUACAUGAUAAGUGGACAAUUAACAGGGGUCUGUAAGACUGCAGCCGUUUGCUUGUCCUGUAAAGCAAAUUCAUCUCUUCACACAGGAAACUGCUGGCCAAUUUAUUUUGGCCUCCUCGUAUUUUGAAACAGUUUGGUGAACUGAGUCUAUCUGAGACUGAUCUAAUCUUUAUUUGCUAGAUUUGUGUUUUUGUUCUAGAUUUUGGUCAAAUUACAGAUAUUGGCUUGCUUCUGGAACCGGGAUCAGCUUUGAUUGUCACCAUGGCACACACCCACUCUGCAAGGAAUGAGAGCCUCCUAUCACUUCACAGCCUGAAGCAGCAGUUUGUACAUGAGACCAUGGACUGGACCCUGCAUCGACUGUACUUUGGACUGAUAUGAGGAACUUUGGGAAUGGUUGAUGACUGACUGUUAAACCUUGCCUGGAUCAUCUAUUACUAUGUGUUUAAGACUUGGGAUGGGAUUUGUUAAAACUGCAAUUAUUGCUGUUAUGUUUAAGGGCUUUUUAGGAAAUGCGACUGUAUUAGUCUGUUAUGUAUAGGGAUUUUGAUUCACUCUCGGAAUUUAUAUGGGGAAUGGUCAUUUGAUAAUUCCUUUCCGUGAAAAAAAAAAGGGGGGGGGAUAGAGAUAGAACAUUGGGGAAACUGGUAUAUAUUUUUUCAAAAUACCUGAAAGAAUGGGAACGCCUAGCUCCUAUUCACUUUGCCUUAAGCACUUUUGCCCCACCCCUUAUCUCACUAGUUCAGAUUGAAUUUGGAUGCUUUAGUUUUAGAAUCCCUUAUUUUGUUAAAAUCCCCCUGGCUGACAACCCUUCUUCCUACUCUUUUGGGAUCGUUUGUGGCUAUUCUUCUUAUUUCUUUCGGACCUUGGCUGUUUGCUAAGUUAACUGGUUUUGUUAAGUCCCAGGUGGAUGCUGUCGUUCAGAAGAGUACUCACGUGUUCUAUCAAAGGCUCCAUACUCCUGAGUCGCUGGAACAAAUGCAAAAUCCACUUUUUGAGCCUCUGCAGUUUGCCAAUUUAGAGGCCGAGCUCAACACCCCCUGGUAUCGUAAAUGCUGUCGGAAUAGUUAAGUGGGCCUAAAGCUGUGGAGGAGCCCAUGACAGGAUUAUUGCGACUUUGCGAUCUGCUAUAUGCUGGCCUUAUGCUGCAGGAUUAUCCUAUAACGGGAUUAUUGUGAGCCUGCCUCUAGUAGGGGUGGUGUCGGCUCGCAUAGCCUAAGACAGGAGUCCUGCCAAGUGAAUUAGGUAGGCCGCAGGUCCAGAUGCACGUCGCAUAGCCUAAGACAGGCCCUCCACCGACCCAUAAUUCAUCAUGCAUAUAAUAAGGAAGGGGGAGAUGUUGGAGACAGGAAACAAAGAGCCAAGAAGAACGUGACUACCUGUGCAUAAACUCUGAUACGGUUAGCUAAAACCUUAUUGUGAACAAACAAUACGUCCUAAAUUCCUGAGACAAGAUAAUGUGUGUCCCAGGAAACUGGCCAUUUCCGCCCCAGAACUAGAUAACGAGUAUGCCCCAUGAUGUCAGCCACACCUGUGGUCUGACAUUCUUCUCUUUACAUUGCAACCCCCCACCCAGAAAACGCAGGCAGUCAAAUCAUAUAUAACUAAGCACCUCCUUUUACUAAAUGAGACUCUUUUCCACCGCAAUGUAGUCUCCCUCCUCCUUCUCGCCCGUUUCUCUUACAGGUCUUUUUGUCCUCCUCGACACCCCACAAAUGACGAGGUCCUGCUGGUUAGGACAGCAUACAAACUUUUUUGCUCAAAAUAUAUCAUUCUGAAAAGAUUUCACUCACAUAGCUACCACACCUCAUACUAGAUUGCUUUCCCUAUCUCAAGUCUUUCUCCAUUCCAUUCCAUCCUCUAAUUAGCUGCUAAGUAAUCAUCUUAAAACAUAGGGCUAACCACAUUUAUAGUCUUUCUUGCCAAAUUCAAUCGAUUCCAAUAGAAGUCUUUUCCAGGACUAUACAUAAAACCUGAUCACUUUCUUCCUUUUCAAUAUUCUUACACUUUAUUCCUGUACCCCAUGUACUAUAUAAUUCAGUGAAAAUGGCUUUCUUGGUGUUUAACAUACAUGAUUUAUCUUAUCAUUGGUUAUCUUUCAUGCUUAGAUUGCUUUCCCUCUUUACUUGUCUCCACAUAUGCUUCAAGGCAGGUAAAAUCCCACCUUCUGCAAGGAGAUCUGUUUCUACUUUCCCCAGUCCUCCUUGACUUCCACACCCCCAUCCCAGCCCAACCAACCCUCAGAGAUGAUUUCUUAUUUAUACUAUACAUAGUUGUAUGAAGGAAGAGAGAUGGAAAUUUGGAAGUUUUGAUAGGAUUAAAGCAAAGAAAACAGAUAACGUCUGAUAAAAUGUGCCAGGCAAGCCUACUGUGGCUGGUGGCUAUUCACUUGUUUCUCAGUCGUGCCUAAAAAUCUGUGAAAUUAUUUUGGCUUUUCUUGGCAAAAAAGUGAAGUUUGCCCAAUUCCUUCUCUAGCUCAUUUUACAGACAAAGAAACUGAAUAAAUGAGGUUAGAUGACUUUCCCAGAGUCACAUAGUAGCAUCUGAGGGCAGAUUUGAACUCAGGAAGAUGAAUCUUCUUGAAUUCAUAAGUACUCUAUCCAUUAACACUUAAUUCCCCUCUUCCUACAGUAUCUUUUAAUAGCCAAUAAAUAAAUACGUAUUUUAAAAAACAGAAGAAUAUGGUUUUUUAACUUACUUUUUUUUUUUUUUGGCUUAGAAAUAAAAGGUAAUAAAUAGUCUAAAUGAACUUCACUUCACUUCUAGGUCAUAGUGACUUAGGAUUUGAACUUAUCAUGUUGUAGGAACUGUAUAAACUACUUUCCUUAUUUUGCUCAUUUUAUUAUGUUUACAUGAUAUUUAUUUUAUAUUAUUAUAAUAAAAUAAAAUUUACUGCUUAUAUAAUAUUUCCUAGGUUUCCCUAGGUUUCCCAUUUCUUUGUGCAUAAUAGUUCCAAAAAGUGUUACGAUACAUAUUUUUGUAUAAGACAGGUCCAUGAACUGUUUUUUAAUACCUGAAUCAAGAAUAGUAUUGUUGGGUCAAAGAGUACAUGUACAUUUUAAUGAUUUUUGGAUGCAGUGUAAAAUGAGCUCCUUCAAAAAUUAUCAUUUUUGUUCUUUGCAUCUUUGCCAAUCAGAUGGAUACUGUGGUAGAGGCUCAGCUAUUUUAAUUUGCAUUUCUCUAAUCAUUAUGAGCAAUUUGAAGUAUUAUUUCAUACUAUUAUAGAUAGCCUGCUAUUUUUCUGAGAAAUAGCCAUUCAUCUGAAAUUAAAAAAAAAGCAGUAAUUUUGUUUCUUCCUUGCCAAUGGCUUAUUAUUCCAACUUCUUUUUCUCAUCCUGUUGCCCUAAAGAUAUCAUUUCUAGUACUGCAUCAAAUAAUUAUAGUAACCAUGGGCAUCCCUGUUUUUACUGACAAUUCCCCUAUGUUUCCCCUUUACAAUUCUUGUAAUAGAUGCAGUUCUUGGUUUUAGAGAAAUAAUGCUUACCAUAUUAACAACUGGGCCAUUUAUUCCUUUCUUUUCCUAGUAUAAAUCUUGCUGGAUGAUAGUGCUUAAUUUUUAAUAUAUUAUUGUAGACUUUUUGCUAUUUGAAUAUUUUAUUGAAUACUGAAUAUUUUAGCAAUGACAAUUCAUUGUUAUUGACUUCUGAAGUCAAGAAGAUUCAUCUUCUUGAGUUCAAUUGUAGAUACUGAUUAACAUUUUCUUUCUUUGCUUUCUCUCUCCCUGUUUUAGGUAUCAGGAUUAUGAUUGUAUCAUAAAGUUCAGUAAGACGUUAGAAGUUUUGUUACAUUUUAGUGAUCUUAAAAACAAAACAAAGCAAAGGAAAGAUGUGAUAAAGAAAUCUGCAAAAGAAGAAAAGAAGAAGGGGAAAGAAGGGAUUUAGUAUCUCACAUAAUCUGAUCGUAUAAAAUGUUAAGUUUACAAACAAGGAAAGGGGAUAGUAUGGGUGGGAAUCCCACUUUCACAUGAACUGAAUAAGAGUACAAUAGGAGAAAUAAAGGGAAAGUUUCAGAGAGGAAUUAGACAUAAGCAAAACAAACACUAAAAUCAAAGUAUGGAUUGUAAGGAAGGGUUUUUGAAGGGAAAAAAAGAAAAACAAAGAAAGAUUAUUGGAUUAAGUAAUCAAUAAAAUGAAAGAAUGGUCAUUGUAUUAUUAGACCUUCACACCUCAAAACUUUUCAAAAUAAGAAUUAUAAACACAAGAAAUAAAUUAGACUGGUUUCCAUGACAUCAAGAACCCUUUCACUGCCACCCUCCACUUCCCCCAAGCUUCCUCAUUUUAGCAGUACAAUAAAAUAGUAUUGAUGGGUGUGUGAUCUAAAGUCUAUUUAGCAAAUAUCCUUUGUUGUCACAGCAGUUUCUGUCAGCACAUAUUCUCCCUGUUUGGGACAAAAAGACCUACCC